rnacentral:misc_RNA from 1 species
UGAAUGGAUCUUCUAGCCCAAAGG